AGAUGGCGACCGGCGCACGGGUGAGUAACACGUAUCCGACCUGCCGAUAACUCGGGGAUAGCCUUUCGAAAGAAAGAUUAAUACCCGAUGGUAUAAUCAGACCGCAUGGUUUGAUUAUUAAAGAAUUUCGGUUAUCGAUGGGGAUGCGUUCCAUUAGGCAGUUGGUGAGGUAACGGCUCACCAAACCUUCGAUGGAUAGGGGUUCUGAGAGGAAGGUCCCCCACAUUGGAACUGAGACACGGUCCAA
rnacentral:rRNA from 1 species